UGAGGAGCUGACAUACCUGCGCAAGCUUGCACGUCCUUUGCCAACACAUUUUGCUCUAGGUGAUUAUGCUAUUAACUUUCAGACUUCCUACUUGUUAUUCAUUUUUAUUGGUGGUUCCAAAUAACCAUGAUCUUACAGGAUGAUUAAGUAUUAACUGCUUCCGGCACCCUUACCUUCUUAUGCAUACAUCACCUUAAUGUUCCACACAAAAUAAUGUAGAAGCACAAGAAAACUGGUUCUUCAGAUUCCUCGGUAUGAUCCACACCCUGAUAAGGCUCAAUUGUUAAAUCUUUACCAUGAUAACUUGUCCAAUUGUGUCAACCUUCAGGUCCUCUGCAAUUUCUUUGCUACAAAAAAU
rnacentral:lncRNA from 1 species